GCAGACACAUUCCAGCCAAUCAGCAGCAGACCCUCCCUCCCAGACCCUCCCACCUCCUGUGCAGCUUCACAAUGAAUGUAAAAUGGAUGCUGUCCAGGAGGUGGGAGGGUCUGGGAGGGAGGGUCUGCUGCUGAUUGGCUGGAAUGUGUCUG